UAGAUCGCAUUUUCUCUAUAUGCGAAGAUGAAUCACCAAAUAUGAGGAAUCUCUGAUCGGAGGAAGGAAUUCCGACGAGGACAGCAGCGCCGGCGAGAACUGUCAUACUCUCUCCGUUACCACCUCUGGCGAAUCUUCCGAUGAUUGUCUCAACAAACAUGGUUGGUUCUCUACUCUGCACUCGAGAAGCCAUGCGUGUGAUGAAGAACCAGGCUAAGGCGGGCCACAUAUUUAACAUGGAUUGUGCAGGCUCAGGGGGAUCUAGUACCCCUCCAACAGCUGUAAGUUUCUAUAAUGUUACAGAAGUUUUAGCUCAAACAAUUUCAAUGGAACAUUACCUAUGCAGCUUGGAAUGUUGACCUCCUUACAACAGCUAUGCCAAGUGUGUUGCUCAUGGCAGCAUUGCCCAAUUUUCCUAUAGUAUGUGUCAAUUCUCCGUGCUCCUUCUCCCUUAUUGAAUUAGAAUUUUUUUUUUCUAGGAUUUAUUGAAUCAAAAUCUAACUUAAGAAAACUCUUGGUUUCUCUGCAUUUCUCUGAUUUUCCUUUCACACAUUUCUCAAAAAACUAAAAGUUUUAUGGUGCAAGUCAAGUUGAUUAAGUUCAAAACAGAGUGGAUAACUGUGUAUACUUGUAUGUUAGACACCUGUGGUCAAGGUAAUAAUUCAUGAAUUGAUCUAUGCUACUUAAUUAUCUUUUUCAGAAAUAUGUUACAUUUUUAAAAUCACAUGUCAAUAUGGACUUCAUUGUAUGACAAUUUUUCAAUCAAACACCUCAAUCAUUUAACAAGUGCAUGAUUAAUUGAUUUGUCUAUUUCCUUGCAGUUCUUAAUGCAAGGAAAAAUUGGUGGCUAUGCAUUAGUCUUUGAGAAGUACCAAGAGAAGAAAGAAUCCUUUAUGUGAGACCCUUUAAACAUUAGUACAUCAAGUUAUUUUGCAUUCAAAUAGAAUAAUAUUAAGAUUAGGAUUUUGAUCA